rnacentral:rRNA from 1 species
CACGUAGGGCGCAAGCGUUGUCCGGAAUUAUUGGGCGUAAAGAGCUCGUAGGCGGUCUGUUGCGUCCGCUGUGAAAACUCGGGGCUUAACCCCGAGCCUGCAGUGGAUACGGGCAGACUAGAGGUAGGUAGGGGAGAAUGGAAUUCCCGGUGUAGCGGUGAAAUGCGCAGAUAUCGGGAGGAACACCGGUGGCGAAGGCGGUUCUCUGGGCCUUACCUGACGCUGAGGAGCGAAGCG